AGCCGCCCAGUGAGACAAGAAAACUCCAGUCCGAGCUCGCCAAAUGUAUCGCUCUUCUUCCCCCCACCCCUCGUCGGAAGAUUUCUUCCGCGCCUCCAGAUCUCCGACUCCGAUGCCGCCCCGCCCCGCCAUGCCCUGCCCCCUCUCCAUUUUCCUCCCCUUCUCAGCGCUCUCCAUUCCAAACUCCAGCUGUGGCCGGUCGAACCAUGGUCGUUCGGACCGUCGUGACGGCGCCCUUGGUGGUCACACCGCCCCUGCUGAUUCGACGGCAACGGGAGCUAUACAUCGUGGUGACCGUCCUGUCCCUGCUGAUUGGACGGCCACCGGUGCCAUGUCGCGGUUACCGAGCCGGCCCUUGCUGAUUCGACGGCCGCCACGCCAGAUCUACACGUCGUCGUACCCCCAGUCCCCCAAGUGGUUCAAAACAACUUGGUUGCCUGUUUCGGAGUAAGAAGACAAUGAAAUACUACUCAUACACUAUUACACAUCUAAAGAUAUCUACAUACUGCAAGAAGAAACAAUUAUCUCAUCGAGGGAUCUAGAAGCAGCAGUAGAAAUAGCAUUGAGCUUCCAUGAAGCUGCAGUCUGCUCCUGCAUAUGACAGUUCAAGAGAAGGAACCAUGGGAUGCAGGGACAUAGUCUAUGAUAUUCACAUAUUCAGAGAAACUUUCAGCUUAGUUGCCUUGGUGAGUUACUUAAAACCUGAUGUUCAUGUUUGUGCAUAAUUGAUUUACAGAUUAUUUCGUCAUGCACAGAAACCUUUGCACUCACUCAAGUAUUCAUUGAGAAUGCUUUGAGAAUUAGCAUAUGUGGUUGCUCAUAUUCAUUUUAUAUUCUGGUUUACCAGCAUCUUCUGAUGAUUAUUGGUUUGUCAACUAGGUGGUAGGUCCUCAUAACUCGUCCAAUAUAUUUCGUUACAAUUUGCAAGUAAACACCGUCAUGUUUUUUCUAGUUAUACAUCCUUGUUUGUGAGUGUUCCCUUAAUCGUUAGUCCAUAUGGACCACAUUAUUCUGGUUGCUCGUAUUCAUUUUGUAUUAUGGUUUACCAGCAUCUUCUGGUGAUUAUUGGUUUCUCAACUAGGUGGCAGGUCCUCAUUUUUUAUCACCUAGGGGAACUUGUCCAAUAUGUUUCGUUACAAUUUGCAUGUAAACACCGUCAUGUUUUUAUGGUUAUACAUCCUUGUUUGUGAGCGCUUCCUUAAUUGUUAGUCCAUAUAGACCACAUUAUUGAAAGUGAAACUGUCUAGUAUAGUCUUUUUGCUUAUAUCAAACUUCUCUAAUUUACAUGUAUGCCAUCAAAAUUAUAGCAGAUUAUUCAUGCCUUAUAUGAAUGUGCUAAGCUGCUUGUCACCACUAUUUUCUGGAAAAUGUUGACUCUUCAGAUGUUCUUAACCAACAGCCUGAUGCGAAUGCUCAAGGGAUGUUUGGGGUUUUUUCUGGUGAAAUUGGCACAGACUUGGUGAGCUUAUCACUACUUCUACGCAGCCAACCACUACCUUGAUGUCCCGGGACUAUUGAGCAGUUUUCAUGCUUGUAGAUUUUUUUUUAUGUAAAAACUCUAGCUGAUACUUGGUCAGACCUAUGGCAUAUUGUACAUGCUGAUUGAGUUCUGCUAGCCGUAACAAAUCUAGCUAGCCAAUAUUUUGACAAACAUGCAAUUCCUAUGUACAAUUCUAACUUGCAUGUGCGAUUAAUAUUAACAGGUAUUUCAGGUAUGAAAUAAUGUUUGCUGAGCUA